AAUAUUGGACAAUGGGGGCAACCCUGAUCCCGCCAUGCAGCGUGUGUGAGGAAGGUCUUCGGAUUGUAAAGUACUUUAAGUUGGGAGGAAGGGCUUUAGGUUAAUACACUGAAGAUUUGACGUUACCAACAGAAUAAGCAACGGCUAACACUGUGCCAGCAGCCGCGGUAAUACAGAGGGUGCAAGCGUCAAUCGGAAUUACUGGGCGUAAAGCGCGCGUAGGUGGUUCAGUAAGAUGGGUGUGAAAUCCCCGGGCUUAGCCUGGGAACUGCUUUCAUAACUGCUGAGCUAGAGUACGGUAGAGGGUAGUGGAAUUUCCUGUGUAGCGGUGAAAUGCGUAGAUAUAGGAAGGAACACCAGUGGCGAAGGCGACUACCUGGACUGAUACUGACACUGAGGUGCGAAAGCGUGGGGAGCAAAC
rnacentral:rRNA from 1 species